rnacentral:lncRNA from 1 species
AAUGAAGCUUGAAUGUAUCUUGAAUACUUGAAUGGACAUCUUGGAUAUGCAUGAAACAUGCAUAAAACAUCCCAAUAUAUGUUCUUCUUUAAUUAUGGUCCAUGAAUCUUCAAAUACAUGUACAUAAAAUAGCCUUCACUUGCAUGAAUGUCCCCAAUACAUGAAUUCCUUCAAAUGCCAUCCAUUGAACAUUAGUUGGGCAUGCAUCCUUCUAUACAAUGUAUUAAGCCAUGCAUGUACUUGCAUUAAUGGCUCCUUCAUGCAUUUGGUCACCUUGAGGAACUUAACUCUUGGCCAAAA